AUGUUAUCAUCAUCGCCA
rnacentral:snRNA from 1 species